AUAUAUAUAUAUAUAUAUAUAUAUAUAUAUAUAUAUAUAUAUAUAUAUAUGUGCUAUUACAGGGGAUUCUGUUCUAUGCCACUCCUAUGCUAAGGAUGGAUUUAACAGUAACUUUGUGAAGAUGCUUGAAAUACAGUUUGAUGUUUUUGAGCAUCAGUGAGGGUCGUGACCAUGAGGAAUGGUUUUCUUUUUUAUAAAAUACCAUUAAACAGUCAUAGCUAAAUUUUUUUAAAAAGCGACACUUUGAGAGGUGAUUUUUAUUAUUUUUUUCCUGCACUUUAGACUGAAAAUGGAGAAACAGGGAGGUGUGUUUAUUCAAGCCAUCAUAGACACAUCCGAUGUUCAAAAUGCUCUUAAAGAUGAAUCAGAAUUGAUGCAGAAAGCGUGCAGCGUUCCAUUGAGUAAAUAAGGGUGAAUAGUGUCUCGUCUGACUCCUUGGAUGCGCUAAGUAGAAACAAGCCAACUUCAUGGCAUUCCAGGUCUCAUCUCGCAGCCAUAUCCAAGAUCUAAACGGCUUGAUAGGUGCACACGACAUUUCAGACGUUUUGUUCCGAAUGUUACUUGUUUUAAAAACGAAAUUUUAUACCGAAGCUAAAGACUAUUUUGACAUUUGCUUUAAUACAGUCAGCAGUGAUUGGACUGUAUCACAAAGACACUAUUUCCGAUGAUGUCUAUGACAGUGGAAUGGUAUUUUAUAAUGGUUUGUUUUUAGAUAAGCUUUUUACACUGCAUUCAAGUGUGUUUGCUAUUUUUUGUUCCUACCGAAAGUACUAACGUUAAUUCUAUCUUUGCUAUGUUGGCGAGCCCUUGAAGGUUUUGUACUUAUCAAAACUUUUGUAAUUUUGAUUUAUUUGUAGCUACGUACUCAAAAUGAACAAAAAAUAGAGAAUCUGGAUUUAAUUGUUGAUGUAUUAUAACACGCAGAACAUGUAAAUACCAAUUUGCAGAUUUUUUUUUUUGUCUUUUCCCUCACUUAUGUUGUACUCUCUCUCUCUCACUCACAUGGUUGCAGUCUGCAGCCUCCUGAUCAGACUGUUGUAAUAUCACUCAGAUCUCAAGGUCUAGAAUAAAAUCUAUUUUGAUAAUA
ensembl:lncRNA